AUUGAACGCUGGCGGCAGGCCUAACACAUGCAAGUCGAACGGUAACAUGAAGAAGCUUGCUUCUUUGCUGACGAGUGGCGGACGGGUGAGUAAUGUCUGGGAAACUGCCUGAUGGAGGGGGAUAACUACUGGAAACGGUAGCUAAUACCGCAUAAUGUCGCAAGACCAAAGAGGGGGACCUUCGGGCCUCUUGCCAUCGGAUGUGCCCAGAUGGGAUUAGCUAGUAGGUGGGGUAACGGCUCACCUAGGCGACGAUCCCUAGCUGGUCUGAGAGGAUGACCAGCCACACUGGAACUGAGACACGGUCCAGACUCCUACGGGAGGCAGCAGUGGGGAAUAUUGCACAAUGGGCGCAAGCCUGAUGCAGCUAUGCCGCGUGUAUGAAGAAGGCCUUCGGGUUGUAAAGUACUUUCAGCGGGGAGGAAGGGAGUAAAGUUAAUACCUUUGCUCAUUGACGUUACCCGCAGAAGAAGCACCGGCUAACUCCGUG
rnacentral:rRNA from 1 species